rnacentral:rRNA from 1 species
UACGUAGGGGGCAAGCGUUGUCCGGAUUUAUUGGGCGUAAAGAGCGUGUAGGCGGUUUGGUAGGUCCGCUGUGAAAACUUGAGGCUUAACCUCGAGACGUCGGUGGAAACUGCCUGGCUAGAGUCCGGAAGAGGAGAGUGGAAUUCCUGGUGUAGCGGUGAAAUGCGCAGAUAUCAGGAAGAACACCCGUGGCUAAGGCGGCUCUCUAGUACGGUACUGACGCUGAGACGCGAAAGCGUGGGGAGCGAACAGG